rnacentral:pre_miRNA from 1 species
CAAAUACUCCCUCCGUCCGGAAAUGCUUGUCAUCAAAAUGGAUAAAAGGAAAUGUAUCUAGACGUAUUUUAGUUUUAGAUACAUCUAUUUUUAUCCAUUUUUAUGACAAGUAUUUUUGGGCGGAGGGAGUAGAAA